rnacentral:rRNA from 1 species
UACGUAGGGUGCGAGCGUUGUCCGGAAUUACUGGGCGUAAAGAGCUCGUAGGUGGUUUGUCGCGUUGUUCGUGAAAUCUCACGGCUUAACUGUGAGCGUGCGGGCGAUACGGGCAGACUAAAGUACUGCAGGGGAGACUGGAAUUCCUGGUGUAGCGGUGAAAUGCGCAGAUAUCAGGAGGAACACCGGUGGCGAAGGCGGGUCUCUGGGCCGAUACUGACGCUGAGGAGCGAAAGCGUGGGGAGCGAACAGG